UACGUAGGUGACAAGCGUUGUUCGGAUUUACUGGGCGUAAAGGGCGCGUAGGCGGCCUGUGCAAGUCAGUUGUGAAAUCUCCGAGCUUAACUCGGAACGGUCAACUGAUACUGCUCGGCUAGAGUGCGGAAGGGGCAACUGGAAUUCUUGGUGUAGCGGUGAAAUGCGUAGAUAUCAAGAGGAACACCUGCGGCGAAGGCGGGUUGCUGGGCCGACACUGACGUGAUGCGCGAAAGCUAGGGGAGCGAACGGG
rnacentral:rRNA from 1 species